GCAAGUCGAGCGAGAAUUUAGACUUCGGUCUGAAGGACAGCGGCAAACGGGCGAGUAACACGUACUUAACCUGCCUUUGAGUGGGGAACAACUACAGAGAUGUAGCUAAUUCCCCAUACGAUCCAUGAAAUGAAAAUACAUCGAUGAAAGAUUUAUCGCUCAAAGAGGGGGGUGCGGUCUAUCAGGUAGUUGGUGGGGUAAAGGCCUACCAAGCCUAUGACGGAUAGCCGGUCUGAGAUGAUGUCC
rnacentral:rRNA from 1 species